rnacentral:rRNA from 1 species
AUGGAGGAGAGCACCGAGGCCGCGGCGACGGCGAGCGGCGUGGCGCCUGUAGCCGGAGGCGCGGAGGCCGCCCGGGCGGCGGGCGCGACGAUGAAGGUGGUGGUGGCGGUGGACGCGAGCGAGGAGAGCCUGCAGGCGCUGUCGUGGGCGCUCGACCACGUCGUCCGGCUCCACCCCGGCGCGUCCGUCGUCGUCGUCCACGCCCAGCACCGCGUCGACCACUUCGCCUACCCCGUCGCCGCCCACGGUACGGUGCACAAUCUCGCGCGCGCGCACCAACCGCGUGAACUCCUCCCUGACACACCUUUUUGUGCGUGGCGCGAUCGUGCCGUAGCAGGCCUGGCCUACGCCCCGCCCACGGCGUUGGACUCCAUGAGGAGGGCGCAGGAGGAGAACUCCCGGAAGGCGGUGGCCCGCGCGCUGGACGUCUGCAGGCAGAAGCAGGCGAGCGCCACGGCGGCGGUGGUGGAGGGCGACCCCAAGGAGGCCAUCUGCCAGGCCGUGGAGGACAUGCGCGCCGACCUGCUCGUCCUCGGCAGCCGCGGCCUCGGCAUGGUCAAGAGGGCGUUGCUAGGCAGCGUGAGCGACUACCUCGCCCAUCACGCGUGUUGCCCCGUUCUCAUCGUCAAGCCACCCAACAAGGCGCACCACAAGUGA